GACGAACGCUGGCGGCGUGCCUAAUACAUGCAAGUCGAACGCUUCUUUUUCCACCGGAGCUUGCUCCACCGGAAAAAGAGGAGUGGCGAACGGGUGAGUAACACGUGGGUAACCUGCCCAUCAGAAGGGGAUAACACUUGGAAACAGGUGCUAAUACCGUAUAACAAUCGAAACCGCAUGGUUUUGAUUUGAAAGGCGCUUUCGGGUGUCGCUGAUGGAUGGACCCGCGGUGCAUUAGCUAGUUGGUGAGGUAACGGCUCACCAAGGCCACGAUGCAUAGCCGACCUGAGAGGGUGAUCGGCCACAUUGGGACUGAGACACGGCCCAAACUCCUACGGGAGGCAGCAGUAGGGAAUCUUCGGCAAUGGACGAAAGUCUGACCGAGCAACGCCGCGUGAGUGAAGAAGGUUUUCGGAUCGUAAAACUCUGUUGUUAGAGAAGAACAAGGAUGAGAGUAACUGUUCAUCCCUUGACGGUAUCUAACCAGAAAGCCACGGCUAACUACGUGCCAGCAGCCGCGGUAAUACGUAGGUGGCAAGCGUUGUCCGGAUUUAUUGGGCGUAAAGCGAGCGCAGGCGGUUUCUUAAGUCUGAUGUGAAAGCCCCCGGCUCAACCGGGGAGGGUCAUUGGAAACUGGGAGACUUGAGUGCAGAAGAGGAGAGUGGAAUUCCAUGUGUAGCGGUGAAAUGCGUAGAUAUAUGGAGGAACACCAGUGGCGAAGGCGGCUCUCUGGUCUGUAACUGACGCUGAGGCUCGAAAGCGUGGGGAGCAAACAGGAUUAGAUACCCUGGUAGUCCACGCCGUAAACGAUGAGUGCUAAGUGUUGGAGGGUUUCCGCCCUUCAGUGCUGCAGCUAACGCAUUAAGCACUCCGCCUGGGGAGUACGACCGCAAGGUUGAAACUCAAAGGAAUUGACGGGGGCCCGCACAAGCGGUGGAACAUGUGGUUUAAUUCGAAGCAACGCGAAGAACCUUACCAGGUCUUGACAUCCUUUGACCACUCUAGAGAUAGAGCUUCCCCUUCGGGGGCAAA
rnacentral:rRNA from 1 species